rfam:Lachnospiraceae bacterium JC7 contig00086, whole genome shotgun sequence.
UGAUAGCAAUGAAAUGAAGAUUACUUGCAUGGACGAAAGCCAAGAUCCGUACAGUAUUAUCUGAAAAGAUCCAGUGAACCUUCGGGUUCCGCCUGAGAACUGAUACGGCAACCAAGUAUAAGACAUGUAAGAGAACUUCAUGGAGCGAAUGUCUAGUUUAGAAACUGACGGCAG